rnacentral:rRNA from 1 species
UAGGGAAUCUUCCACAAUGGACGAAAGUCUGAUGGAGCAAUGCCGCGUGAGUGAAGAAGGUUCUCGGAUCGUAAAGCUCUGUUGUGAGGGAAGAACAAGUACGGGAGUAACUGUCCGUACCUUGACGGUACCUCAUUAGAAAGCCACGGCUAACUACGUGCCAGCAGCCGCGGUAAUACGUAGGUGGCAAGCGUUGUCCGGAAUUAUUGGGCGUAAAGCGCGCGCAGGCGGCCUUUUAAGUCUGAUGUGAAAGCCCACGGCUCAACCGUGGAAGGUCAUUGGAAACUGAAAGGCUUGAGUACAGAAGAGGAAAGCGGAAUUCCACGUGUAGCGGUGAAAUGCGUAGAGAUGUGGAGGAACACCAGUGGCGAAGGCGGCUUUCUGGUCUGUAACUGACGCUGAGGCGCGAAAGCGUGGGGAGCAAACAGGAUUAGAUACCCUGGUAGUCCACGCCGUAAACGAUGAGUGCUAAGUGUUAGGGGGUUUCCG